UUAACCAGCACAGCAGGUCAGAAUAAAAGUGUUCCUAUGUUAAGCAUCAAUAAUUCUAACAGAGAUUUGGUGAAUCACCAAAUCGCAAUAGAGUUAAAACAGCAAUUAGUAUUCCUUUUCUCGUAUUUCUCGAAAGAAAUUAACCUAUCCACUGAGGAACGAACAGUACACAGGGUGUUGUCGAAGAGGGACACGUGGAUAAGGCAAUGUUUCUCGCCGACCAACCAUGUAAAAAAGUUGUGGUGAUCCAGCAAAAAGCAAGGUUCUGUUUAACAUUGGGGACAAGACAGCUAAAACAAUCAGCUUGUAAAAAGAAAACCAGAUUUUGGUUUGCUGCUGUUCCUGGAUGGACAAUGAAAAACUGAAGCAAUACCCUUUUAAGCUGGCAACUCACGUUCAAACUCAUUUGGCAUGAAGAUAUCAUUUAUUUGGGAAUAUUUGUUCACGUAAAUACAAGGUUUGUCGGAUAUGUGUAGGCGGCUUCAACACUUGGGAUCUAGCAGUUAUUACACUGGUGGUGUUGGCCCCAUGAAUCUUAUUUUUUUUUUUU